rnacentral:rRNA from 1 species
UGGGGAAUAUUGGGCAAUGGGCGAAAGCCUUACCCAGCAAUGCCGCGUGAGUGAUGAAGGUCUUCGGAUUGUAAAGCUCUUUGAUUAGGGACGAAGAAAGUGACGGUACCUAAAGAACAAGCCCCGGCUAACUACGUGCCAGCAGCCGCGGUAAUACGUAGGGGGCAAGCAUUGUCCGGAAUGACUGGGCGUAAAGGGUGUGUAGGCGGUUUUACAAGUUAGAUGUGAAAUACCCAGGGCUUAACUCGGGUGCUGCAUCUAAGACUGUAAGACUUGAGUGUCGGAGAGGUAAAUGGAAUUCCUAGUGUAGCGGUGGAAUGCGUAGAUAUUAGGAGGAACACCAGUGGCGAAGGCGAUUUACUGGACGAUAACUGACGCUGAGGCACGAAAGCGUGGGGAGCAAACAGGAUUAGAUACCCUGGUAGU